rnacentral:rRNA from 1 species
CACGUAGGGGGCGAGCGUUGUCCGGAAUCAUUGGGCGUAAAGAGCUCGUAGGCGGCUCAGUAAGUCGGGGUGUGAAACCCUCAGGCUACAACCUGGGGACGCCACCCGAUACUGCUGUGGCUAGAGUCCAGUAGGGGAGUGUGGAAUUCCCGGUGUAGCGGUGAAAUGCGCAGAGUAUCGGGAAGAACACCUAUGGCGAAGGCAGGGUCUCUGGGCCACUACUGACGCUGAGAAGCGAAAAGCAUGGGGAGCGAACAGG